rnacentral:rRNA from 1 species
CCCGCUGAACUUAAGCAUAUCAAUAAGCGGAGGAAAAGAAACUAACAAGGAUUCCCCUAGUAACUGCGAGUGCAGCGGGAAGAGCUCAAAUUUGAAAUCUGGCAGCUCUCUGAACUGUCCGAGUUGUAAUCUAGAGAAGUGUUACCUGUGCUGGACCGUGUACAAGUCUCCUGGAAUGGAGCGUCACAGAGGGUGAGAAUCCCGUCUUUGACACGGACUGCCUGCAUGUUUAUGGUGCGCUCUCAAAGAGUCGAGUUGUUUGGGAAUGCAGCUCAAAAUGGGUGGUAAAUGCCAUCUAAAGCUAAAUAUUGGCGAGAGACCGAUAGCGAACAAGUACCGUGAGGGAAAGAUGAAAAGAACUUUGGAAAGAGAGUUAAACAGUACGUGAAAUUGCUGAAAGGGAAACGCUUGAAGUCAGUCGCGUUGUUCAGGAUUCAGCCUUGCUUCCGCUUGGUGUACUUCCUGUUCGACGGGUCAGCAUCAGUUUUGGCCAGUGGAUAAAGGCCCAGAGAAUGUGGCAUCCUCGGAUGUGUUAUAGCUUUGGGUCGCAUACAUUGGCUGGGACUGAGGAACUCAGCACGCCGAAAGGCCAGGUUUCGACCAUGUACGUGCUUAGGAUGCUGGCAUAAUGGCUUUAAUCGACCCGUCUUGAAACACGG